UGUGGUCACUCACGGAAUGGACUGACUCUUUUCUCCUGUAAGAUAAGGACUAUGGAGAAGUUUUGCUCAAUGGCUGAAGCUUGCAGAGGGAAGAUAUUUAUCAAAUUAAUUUCCCAGGCUUUGUUCCGGUAAAAAAAAGAGUCAGCUGAUGCUUCAAAGAAUGUUAAACUUCUAAUUCAAAGAUUCGCCCCGCCUCCGUCUCCCCCUGGUUUUUCUUUCCUGCUCAGUUUAUCCACUACAAAAAUUAAAUACAGCAGGGAUAGACUGAUCGUGGCUGAUCUCAUCCAUCGGGGCUGCAGCUGAUAUUCAAGGAAAUACAAGCCUGGAAUUGGGAGCCUCAUCGUGCAGCUUGGUGGUUCCCACAAUGAGGCUGAGGUCACACGGAUCACAAGAAGUCAGUGUGUGUGUGACAUAAAACUGGCUUUUCUAAUG
rnacentral:lncRNA from 1 species